rnacentral:rRNA from 1 species
AAAAACUUUCAACAACGGAUCUCUUGGUUCCAGCAUCGAUGAAGAACGCAGCGAAAUGCGAUAAGUAAUGUGAAUUGCAGAAUUCAGUGAAUCAUCGAAUCUUUGAACGCACAUUGCGCCCCUCGGUAUUCCGGGGGGCAUGCCUGUUCGAGCGUCAU